GAAUCUUGCGCAAUGGGAGCAAUCCUGACGCAGCGACGCCGCGUGCGGGAGGACGCCCUUCGGGGUGUAAACCGCUGUCGCCCGGGACGAACCGGGGGUUUCGGCCCCCCUGACGGUACCGGGUGAGGAAGCGCCGGCUAACUCUGUGCCAGCAGCCGCGGUAAUACAGAGGGCGCGAGCGUUGUCCGGAAUCACUGGGCGUAAAGGGCGCGUAGGCGGCCCCGUAAGCGUGCGGUGAAAGCCCGGGGCUCAACCCCGGGUCGGCCGUGCGGACUGGGGGGCUGGAGCUCACUAGGGGCGGGCGGAAUUCCGGGUGUAGCGGUGGAAUGCGUAGAGAUCCGGAAGAACACCGGUGGCGAAGGCGGCCCGCUGGGGUGAGGCUGACGCUGAGGCGCGACAGCGUGGGGAGCAAA
rnacentral:rRNA from 1 species